UGCAAUUUGAUGCGAGGAGAUGUCUGGAC
rnacentral:piRNA from 1 species